rnacentral:rRNA from 1 species
UGCGCAGACGGCUGAGCAAGUUGGACGUGAAAGCCUGGGGCUCAACCCCAGAAUUGCGUUCAAAACUACUCGGCUCGAGUAUGAGAGAGGGAAGUGGAAUUCCUGGUGUAGAGGUGAAAUUCGUAGAUAUCAGGAGGAACACCAGCGGCGAAGGCGGCUUCCUGGCUCAUUACUGACGUUCAGGCACGAAAGCGUGGGGAGCAAACA